rnacentral:rRNA from 1 species
AGUGAACGCUGGCGGUAGGCCUAACACAUGCAAGUCGAACGGCAGCACAGUAAGAGCUUGCUCUUACGGGUGGCGAGUGGCGGACGGGUGAGGAAUACAUCGGAAUCUACUUUUUCGUGGGGGAUAACGUAGGGAAACUUACGCUAAUACCGCAUACGACCUACGGGCGAAAGCAGGGGAUCUUCGGACCUUGCGCGAUUGAAUGAGCCGAUGUCGGAUUAGCUAGUUGGCGGGGUAAAGGCCCACCAAGGCGACGAUCCGUAGCUGGUCUGAGAGGAUGAUCAGCCACACUGGAACUGAGACACGGUCCAGACUCCUACGGGAGGCAGCAGUGGGGAAUAUUGGACAAUGGGCGCAAGCCUGAUCCAGCCAUACCGCGUGGGUGAAGAAGUCCUUCGGGUUGUAAAGCCCUCUUGUUGGGAAAGAAAAGCAGCAGGUUAAUACCCCGCUGUUCUGACGGUACCCAAAGAAUAAGCACCGGCUAACUUCGUG